ACCGAGGCUGCCGAUCGAGCGAGCUUGCUCGCGAAGUGAUUGAACGAGGUUCCAGGAAAAGCCACUAAGCUUCAGCUACACACGACCGUACCGCAAACCGACACUGGUGCGCGAGAUGAGUAUUCUAAGGCGCUUGAGAGAACUCGGGAGAAGGAACUCGGCAAAUUGACACCGUAACUUCGGAAGAAGGUGUGCCCUAUUAGUGUGAAGUGAACAACGGAGCAUGAAUGGGUUGCAAAAAAUCGGUGGCUGCGACUGUUUAUUAAAAACACAGCACUCUGCAAACACGAAAGUGGACGUAUAGGGUGUGACGCCUGCCCGGUGCUGGAAGAUUAAAUGAUGGGGUGCAAGCUCUUGAUUGAAGUCCCAGUAAACGGCGGCCGUAACUAUAACGGUCCUAAGGUAGCGAAAUUCCUUGUCGGGUAAGUUCCGACCUGCACGAAUGGCGUAACGAUGGCCACACUGUCUCCUCCCGAGACUCAGCGAAGUUGAAAUGUUUGUGAUGAUGCAAUCUCCCCGCGGAAAGACGGAAAGACCCCAUGAACCUUUACCGUAGCUUUGUAUUGGACUUUGAACAGAUCUGUGUAGGAUAGGUGGGAGGCUUUGAAGCAGGGUCGCUAGAUCUUGUGGAGCCAACGUUGAAAUACCACCCUGGUGUGUUUGAGGUUCUAACCUAGGUCCAUUAUCUGGAUCGGGGACAGUGCAUGGUAGGCAGUUUGACUGGGGCGGUCUCCUCCCAAAGCGUAACGGAGGAGUUCGAAGGUACGCUAGUUACGGUCGGACAUCGUGACGAUAGUGCAAUGGCAUAAGCGUGCUUAACUGCGAGACUGACAAGUCGAGCAGAUGCGAAAGCAGGACAUAGUGAUCCGGUGGUUCUGUAUGGAAGGGCCAUCGCUCAACGGAUAAAAGGUACUCUGGGGAUAACAGGCUGAUACCGCCCAAGAGUUCAUAUCGACGGCGGUGUUUGGCACCUCGAUGUCGGCUCAUCUCAUCCUGGGGCUGUAGCCGGUCCCAAGGGUAUGGCUGUUCGCCAUUUAAAGAGGUACGUGAGCUGGGUUUAAAACGUCGUGAGACAGUUUGGUCCCUAUCUUCCGUGGGCGCUGCAGAUUUGAGGAAGCCUGCUCCUAGUACGAGAGGACCGGAGUGGACGCACCUCUGGUGUAUCGGUUGUCACGCCAGUGGCAUUGCCGAGUAGCUAUGUGCGGAAGAGAUAACCGCUGAAAGCAUCUAAGCGGGAAACUCGUUCCAAGAUGAGAUCUGCCGGGGCCUUGAGCCCCCUAAAGAGUCGUUCAAGACCAGGACGUUGAUAGGUCGGGUGUGGAAGCGCAGUAAUGCGUUAAGCUAACCGAUACUAAUUGCUCGUGCGGCUUGACCCC
rnacentral:rRNA from 1 species